CAAAUCAUGUUUGAGACCUUCAACUGCCCUGCCAUGUACGUCGCUAUCCAGGCUGUUCUCUCCCUGUACGCAAGUGGCCGUACCACUGGUAUCGUGCUAGAUUCCGGUGAUGGUGUGAGCCACACGGUUCCAAUUUACGAGGGAUAUGCCCUCCCUCACGCCAUCCUUCGUCUUGAUCUUGCUGGCCGAGAUCUCACAGAUGCGUUGAUGAAGAUACUUACUGAGAGAGGG
rnacentral:misc_RNA from 1 species